GAGCCCGAGGACGCCGUGGAGCACGCACCGCGCCACCGUGGCCGCCCGUCGAGCAAGCGCCCACGCCGUGCGCCGCAGCCACUCCUUCCUAAAACCCUAGCAAGCCAAACGCCCACCUCAUCCUCGCUGCCAUGGCGAUGCCCACAGCCUCCUCCUCCUCCUGCCAAGCGCCGCCCGCUGGCCUCCCGCUCCUCACCUCCCCUGGCGCCCGCGCCCGCGCCCUCAGCCGUUGCCACCUCCAUUUCCGCCUCCGUGGCGCCGCCUCAGCCGUUUCCACAGGUCAUCUGUUUCUUGGUCGUCCCCAAGCACAAUGCUCUUCUAUUGCAGCAGUUGGUGAUGUGGCAGCUGCGCCCGAUGUUUGUACAGAAACCAUGCCAUCAAACAGUGGAUAUCCAGAUAGUUCUAUGGGUGCUUCGUCUCAUGAAGUUGAAUCAGAAAGGGCUGGCAAGAUGAACCAAAAGUCUAGAGAAAACAACAAAAUGGUUAAAAUCAGUGACAAGUUAAUAGGUGUAUUCAUGGUUGAUAAGCCUACACCAACAGAUUGGAGAAAAUUACUAGCGUUUAGCAGGGAAUGGGACAACAUAAGACCGCAUUUCUUUAAGCGCUGUCAGGAACGAGCAGAUGCAGAAUCAAACCCUGAGAUGAAGCACAGUCUUCUUAGACUUGGUAGAAAACUGAAAGAGAUAGAUGAGGAUGUAAAAAGGCAUAAUGAACUACUUGAAGUAGUAAAAUCUACACCAUCUGAUGAAAUUGGUGCUAUUGUUGCUAAUCGACGUAAAGAUUUCACAGUGGAAUUCUUCAACCACCUUUAUUAUGUUGCGGAGUCUUAUCAUGAUGACCCUGAAAAGCAAACUGAGUUGGCAAAGCUUGGAAAUGUUUGUGUAGAUGCCCUACAAGCUCACGAUGAUACAUCUGGGGGUCUUGAAGCUUUGAAUGCAGCCGAAUUGAAGUUAAAAGAUAUACUUAAUUCGCCUUCGGUAGAUGCUGCUUGCAGAAAGAUUGAUGACUUGGCUGAGAAGAAGGAACUGGACUCUGCAUUAGUGUUAAUGCUUUCUAAAGCAUGGUCAGCUGCAAAGGGUACAGACAUCACCAAAUCGGAGGCAAAGGACAUAAUGUUUCAUCUAUACAUGACUGCGGUGGCCAAUCUCCAGAGACAGAUGCCGAAGGAUAUCAGAAUACUGAAGCAUCUUAUAAUGAUAGAGGAUCCAGAAGAACGGUUGAGUGCACUGAAUGACGCUUUUACUCCUGGUCCUGAACUUCAAGGGGACAAUGUUGAUACAUUAUACACGAGUCCAGAGGCGUUGCACACUUGGGCCAGAGCUAUAGUUGAUGCAUAUUAUAAAAGCAGAGAAGGCACUCUCCUUAGGCAAGCAAGAGACUUGAUGAACCCUAAAAUCAUCAGGAGAGUCGAAGAGAUAGUGAAGAUAAUAAAGGAUAAAUACCUUUAAGUUUCGAUCAUCUGAAAAUUGGAGUAGGGCAAUUGCUGUACAGCAAAUGUUUCUACACAUGGUUGAGCUGAACAUAGUACCUGGUUGUUCCUGAUGUGAACUGUUGUACUACCUAUGUAGUAUAGUCAACAAAGAUUGAGAAUUGUAGAAGAUAGAUUUUCCAGACUCCAAUGGAGUAGAAGCCUCAAACUCUGAACUGGUAUUCUAUCACACGGCCAAGUAGCGUUAUCCUCGAUGCAUAUUGUAUUAAUUAGAGAUCUGUUAGAAACCUAAUUUUACAUUAUUUAAUGUCAUGUCACCUUUUAUCUUCCAAUAUCAAAUUCCUCUAGUCUUGUUUGA